rnacentral:pre_miRNA from 1 species
UAAGUACUCCCUCCGUUCGGAAUUACUUGUCUCGGAAAUGGAUGUAUUUAGAACUAAAAUACGUCUAGAUACAUCCAUUUGUGCGACAAGUAAUUCCGAACGGAGGGAGUAGUUG